AUUGGUUUUUCAAACCCAGAAUUCUAUACCAAAUCUGAGUAGCACUCAAAUGAAAGACACAAUAUAAAGACACCUUUCAGUCAUCCAAAGAUUCAUAAAGUUCAUACACCCAGACGGUCCUGAAAUUUGUUGGAAGUCUGAAACUCAGGCUCAGAUCCUGUAAACAUGACAGACGGUGAGGAAGAGAGAAAGGAAGGAAGUGAAAGCCCAGCAUGCCAAAAAUCUAUGGUCGCGGAGUACACCGGGUCCUUUUAUGCCUCCCUACCCUGGCACACAUGUGACCUUUGUCCGGAAUGCCUUUCCUUCUCAUCUCUCUGGAAAUCGAUGAUGAUGGUGAUGAUGAUGAUGAAGAUGAAGAAGAUGAUGAUGAUGGUAGAACAAGCAUGUAUUUGGUAUUAAAGCGUAAAUAAUAAGAAGCAUAUAAAAUUGAAAUUUAAAAAUCUA